rnacentral:rRNA from 1 species
GUGCCAGCCGCCGCGGUAAUACCGGCAGCCCGAGUGAUGGCCGAUCUUAUUGGGCCUAAAGCGUCCGUAGCUGGCCGCACGAGUCCGUCGGGAAAUCCGCCCGCUCAACGGGCGGCCGUCCGGCGGAACCUGUGUGGCUUGGGACCGGGAGGCCUGAGGGGUACGUCCGGGGUAGGAGUGAAAUCCCGUAAUCCUGGACGGACCACCGGUGGCGAAAGCGCCUCGAGAGGACGGACCCGACGGUGAGGAACGAAAGCCAGGGUCUCGAACCGGAUUAGAUACCCCUGUAGUCC